AACGUUUGGUUUGCACGGCUUCCGGUUAUUGUAGAUACCAACAAUUAAGAUAUUUGUCUCUGAAUUUCUGAAUGGAAGUUAUACUUGUGCAGAUACAGCACGGAUAUCUAUAUCUAGUCACAUGCCACGAAUAUACAAAGUAUCUGUAGCUGUGUAUCUAUGCGUCUACACUCGACAGUUGCUUGAACUUCUGUCCUUAAGUAUUGUGAAGUGUCGCUUGUCACAGUUUUGGGUUAGUCCGAAAGUAGCAUUAUCGGGGUUAGGAACUUGCUUUAAGUAGGGCCACCUACCCAUUAACCUAUCAAUGCAGUUUGGGUUCUAUCGAAAUUGCAAGCUUACACUGUAAUAGAUAAGAAAACGCAACCUGGGCAUACUAGUGAACGCCAUGCCGGUCGUUCUCUUUCCGUUUUAACCUUGGAGGUGAUCAGACGUACAGGUGCGACCAACCAAAAAAAAAAAAAAAAAAAAAAAAACACACCCACGUUUUCUUUAUAAUUUUUUUUUUGUAUUUCGAUAUUCUUCGUACCCAAGCCCAGAUUAGAAAUCCCACCAACUGUAUUUAAAUUUGGGGUUAUUUCGGUGCCAGAUCAAAGGUUCUGGCACCUUGUGCUACCCACAAGCAACCGCCGGCUCCAAGCCGUACCACCAGAGCAGCACGUCCAGCAGAGUAGCCGAUGCACAUCGAUCAUCAGAACAUCUCUUUUGGCCGAAGCCAUCGGUGUUCAAGUGUUAUUAGUGUGAAUUAAUCUACCCCCCGCAAAAGUUCAGUGAAAAACAAAACCUGUAGCGAAAAACGAAAAAAAAAGGGAAAACAAAAGCCCUCACAUUAAGCGGUUCAAUUUUUUUUUGGUUAUAACACGAGGUGGCUACACGGUGACAAACUAAUGGUUUUACCGCACGCAUUACCAAACAUGUGCUAAUACACUAAUAAAAUAAUUGGACACCAACGAUCGCCAAAACAAAAAAAAUGAAUUCAAUUUAAAACGUUACGAAAACUACGAGUUUACUAUACCCGAGAAAGAAAAAAAAAAGGAAAUUAUAUAUAUUUUAAAUAUAGAAUAAAUUAAAUUAUAGAUAGAUUAAAUUAAAUUAAAUAAAUAAAAAAGAGGUAAAAAGUGAAAGUCAGUGGUGGAAAGAUUUGGCCAUGCCAGCUAGAAAAAAAAAAUAAAAUAAAAAAAAACUUUUUAAAUAAAUAGUAAUAUAGAAAAAUAAUUAAAAUUAAAAACAUAAUGGGUUAAUCAUACUCCAGCCAUUCAUCCAACGCAAUACCUCAAUAAUAUAUAUAUAUCCAUACACAACUUUUUCCGCAAACAUUUAUCAAGACCAAAACAUGAAACAAUAAGAAGAAAUUCGCCGGAGAAAGUACUUUCGCCGUGGGAGAAAAUAACAUGUAAGUUAUAUCUCAAAAUUUGUCUCUAUUAAUUGCAACGAUAUAUUAUUUAAAAAAAGGCAUUGCAUUUUUGGGGGAUGGCUCUUUCAGUCUUUAAAUUUUACAGUUUUAUAUAUUAAAUCUAUUCUUUCUUUUGAUCGCCUAAUUCGUCGCGAAACCCAAAACCCAGGCUUGACCUACGACAACAUGUUAUUGCAUGGUACAGUCGAGGAUCGAAAUAUUGUGUACACCGAGCCUCUCUCGUGUAUAGGUACAGUCGAGGACCGAAAUAUUGGGUACGCCGGUAGUAAAUUGAAAAUAUUUUAAUUUUUUUUUCUUCUUAUCGAAUUAUAUUACAUUUAUAUUAUAUUAAUACCUAUGCGAAUGGUAUAGGUGGUUUUGAAACAUAUUUUCUUUUCAGCCACUGUAUUUUCACUCAUACUUACAUAUGUAUAUACAACGACUAUUACAAUGAAUAAAUAAUUUAGGAAUAAUUUCUUUUGCAUUAAUAAUUAAAAUAGGAUAAAACUAUAUAUAUAUAAUAUAAUAAUGAUAAAAUAAUAAUCGCCCAUGAUAACAAGUAAAAGAACCAAAAUAAGGUUAGGUAAUUUCUUGGGGUUUUAAAAUUUUUGUUUACUUUUUCUUUCUAUUAAUAUAUAAAUCUAUUUUACAUGUUAUCUAAUUAGGAUUUUAGGUUAAAAAUUAAGUUAAGCAGGAACAACAAAUGAAAGAUUUUGGUUUAAUUAAUUUUAAUGAAUAAAUUUAUAAUGAAGUCCGAAUAGAAGUUAUUUAUCUGGGAUUAUGAACAGCGGAUUUGAUGCAGUGACCUGAAUUCUUAGUGGACCAAUGGGAUCGCCAAUAAACAUGGUUUUGCUCGUGGCGAUCAUGGAAGGGUGGGGCAGCGGCCACUCCAGAUUCCGGGGGUGCGCCUAAAAGAUCCACUAGAAUAUUUUGUUUGAGAUUUCCUUUCUUUUUAACUAUAUUUUUUUUUCCUUCCGAUCUAGCUUUCUCUUUUCCCUCAAGAUUAUUUGUUGGCUAUUCGCACGCGAUUUUAGUUUAUUUGUUUUAACUUUCAAGAGCACGUAGUAUUACAGUAUUUAAAUUCUAACCCAGCCCAUUGCCGACAACAUAGAGCCGGAACCAGCGCGUGCCACUGUUAGCACUACGACAAUUACAUCUGCUCGCAAUAUAACUAAUCUUCGUUAUAUGCUACAAAUAAAUAAUGGCGCCCAACGUGGGGCCCGAUCCGGCAGGCCCCAAAUGAAUAAUAAAAUUUUAAUCGGUCACUUACAUCUUUCGACCGCGUCCAAAUAAUCUUGAUGUUCUUAUUUCUUUUGGUGACUCAGUUACAAUGGAUUUUCUAGUACCUUGUAUGACGGUGCUAUUACCAAGUAACACUCGCAUGUAAUUAUGAGCUAGACGCUGGAUUAGGUAAUAAACUUUACUCACCGCGCUUGCCAUAGUUCACAUGAUGGCUUUUGCAUUUUAGCUGGAUUUUGAUAUUGUGGAAAGAAUCUACAAUCUACCGCUAAAGUGUAUCGAUGUCUUAGUUUAUUUGACUUGGAUCGUGAGUGGCAGGAAGUGAAUUUGAUGCCGUUUGCCUUUUCAUCUUCGGCUGUGCUUCGUGUCCAGUAAAGUAAACUUAGCUUCGUUCCUGUUUAGUAUGGAUUUAGGGAUAUGGGUGAAUAAACCAUACCCUACCGAUUAAACAGGUUAACAUUUUUGUAUUUCCUGUUUCCUUUUCAGUUUAGACCUAGAGUUGUGGGUGAAUAAACUACACUCUACCCCUGAUAAAACUCAUUCUUAUCUAUUUUCAUACUAUUUUCUUCCCUUUUAUUUUCUAUUUAAUCCUAAGGGCAAUCCAAACAAAGUUAAUAGUCGAAACUGCUCAUUGAAGUGAUUCAUAAUCCCUAGAUAUUUUUAUGCAUUUAUAUUGAAAAAUAAAAUUAUAAACACCUAAAAUAAUUAUAUCAUAACUAUCGAAAAA